CUACGAGCUGCUGCAGUGGGGAAUAUUGCACAAUGGAGGAAACUCUGAUGCAGCAACGCCGCGUGGAGGAUGACACUUUUCGGAGCGUAAACUCCUUUUAUAUAGGAAGAAGAUGACGGUACUAUAUGAAUAAGCGCCGGCUAACUCCGUGCCAGCAGCCGCGGUAAUACGGAGGGCGCAAGCGUUACUCGGAAUCACUGGGCGUAAAGAGCGUGUAGGCGGAUUAAAAAGUCAGAAGUGAAAUCCUAUAGCUUAACUAUAGAACUGCUUCUGAAACUCUUAAUCUAGAAUAUGGGAGAGGUAGAUGGAAUUUCUGGUGUAGGGGUAAAAUCCGUAGAGAUCAGAAGGAAUACCGAUUGCGAAGGCGAUCUGCCAGAACAUUAUUGACGCUGAGACGCGAAAGCGUGGGGAGCAAACAGGAUUAGAUACCCCCGUAGUC
rnacentral:rRNA from 1 species